rnacentral:rRNA from 1 species
UACGUAGGGGGCAAGCGUUGUCCGGAAUCAUUGGGCGUAAAGCGCGCGUAGGCGGCCCUGUAAGUCCGUUGUGAAAGUCCAAGGCUCAACCUUUGAAAGCCGAUGGAUACUGCAGGGCUAGAGUCCGGAAGAGGCGAGUGGAAUUCCUGGUGUAGCGGUGGAAUGCGCAGAUAUCAGGAGGAACACCAAUAGCGAAAGCAGCUUUCUGGGACGGUACUGACGCUGAGGCGCGAAAGCGUGGGGAGCAAACAGG